CCUACGGGAGGCAGCAGUGAGGAAUAUUGGUCAAUGGGCUUACGCCUGAACCAGCCAAGUCGCGUGAGGGAAGACUGCCCUAUGGGUUGUAAACCUCUUUUGUCAGGGAGCAACGCCGGCUACGUGUAGCCGGACUGAGAGUACCUGCAGAAAAAGCAUCGGCUAACUCCGUGCCAGCAGCCGCGGUAAUACGGAGGAUGCGAGCGUUCUCCGGAUUUAUUGGGUUUAAAGGGUGCGUAGGCGGAAUGCCAAGUCAGCGGUAAAAUCGCGGGGCUCAACCUCGCUCCGCCGUUGAAACUGGCGGUCUUGAGUGGGCGAGAAGUAGGCGGAAUGCGUGGUGUAGCGGUGAAAUGCAUAGAUAUCACGCAGAACUCCGAUUGCGAAGGCAGCAUACCGGCGCCCAACUGACGCUGAAGCACGAAAGCGUGGGUAUCGAACAGGAUUAGAUACCCCUGUAGUC
rnacentral:rRNA from 1 species